UCUGAAUCUGCGUACGGCUCCGCACACCAGUUGUAAACCAAAGCAAGCAAGCCUGACCCCGAGGCCUUCACAGGUCAAAGGGCCAGGUUACAAGGAUAACCCUGGUAAUUCUGAGGCUAAUACGUGACACGAACCUGUCGACUGGGGGCUUGCCCCUGGGAAGCGGGGGAUGUGCGACUAUCGGGCCAAAAACAACCGGAAAGAGCGCACGUUCAGACCACUCCAAAAAAGGUCUGCAGGAUCCCUCACGGGGUUUUGUGGAUCUUGUGGCUCUUGCACUGUGCUUCUGACCUAUCAACUAGACGGCAGCUUAAGGGACAUGC
rnacentral:rRNA from 1 species